UUUUACGUUAAAAAUUGUGCCUGUUUUACUCGCCCAGACGUAAUUUGUCAAGGAGGUUGCGUUGAGUCAGCUGAUAAUAUUGCUCGAUCGCUUCUAAGAAGAGUACUUGACAUCAUUUCUCUUUGUUUCUUUGAUUAAUAUUUGAAAAUACAAAGUGCCCUCUUUUAUACCUCCAUUUAAACAGCCCUGGCACAUUAUCCCCCUCAGUGUCUGUUUCCCGCUUUCUUUCGAGCUGCUCAGCUGAAUGAUCCUCCCUUUCUUCAAAAGCAACCGAGAUAUCAGAUUUCAACUCUUUUAGCUACAUGCCGCCUCUCUUUCAGUGUUGCCAGCUUGCAAUAGAAUCCGCCAUUCGAACUGCGUGCUCUCAAAUACCAUGAUGGACAAAUAGCUGCAAUUUGACACGAUUCCCUGUAUUGUUGUUCAAUUGAAGCGUUUUUACCGAAAGCUCAAACACUUUGUUAAACUCCUAAGCAUGUCAUUCGUAAUUAUGAAAGCUUGGCAGCAACACUGUUUCCUCCCUCCUUUCUCAGAACUGACUACAAAUUCCAAACUCGAUUCAGUGUCUGCUGAUUUUCGGAGCCCUCCACAAAAGCCAAAGAAUAUCGAAAUUAAAAAAACCAAACCAAUAAGUUUGAUGCGUCUGUCCAUGUUAUCAUCUCAAGUGAAACCAUCUUAGAAAUGUGACGGACGAAAGUCAAAUGAAGAUUAUCUGUCUCUGACAUAACUGAAGCGUAUGUGCGACUUGUAUCAAACACCACCACGCCCAAGGAACAGAAGCAUCGAUCUCAAAAACUGCAAUGGUACCCGCCGAAAGUCUCGACAUCAAGACUUUGAGUAAACAUUGGGAGAAAUUAGAAACUAGAACACCUCUGAUACCUCCGAUGUGUUUUGAGCGCCUGUCAUUGACAACCCGACAUUUCAGAGCUAUGUAGCCCGAGUUUGGCCACGUUCAGGCGGAUCAAUAAGUUGAUUAAUAUUUCAUGGAUCCAGGUAGGACCUUGUGCUGACACAUUUAUUGGAGCCUCGAGCGGACUUCCUUUAUGAUUAUUUUACGCCAUGAAGCUCUCGUCAACUUCAUUCAGUGUGAUCCUCAACUUCUUUGCGUAUCUGUGGUUUGAGGUUAACGCCAAAGGCCACAGACUCUUCGUUUUGAACUCAAUAUUCUUCAGCGUCAUUCCAACCACAGUGAAGACCUAUUGGCGAUCUCGCAAAAAGAUACCUUUGUGCCAUGAAUAUGUCGUGAUCCGAAUGAUGCAUUUACUCGGCUGUGUUCACUUAGGAGUCAUAUUCCAUGCCUUAGACUUGCACCAUGACUUUGAAUCCACCACCAACCAUGCCUAUUUUUAUGUUUGGUUGGUGCACACUCUGUUUGAACUGAUCUUUGAUCGCAAACUACAACGAUUCCAAGAACAAGAUCGAACUCAUGUGAAAGGAAUUGACAAAUACUUCAGCUCGUAAUAUCCGUGCUACAACCUCAGUGUGAUAUACCGGUAUAUUUAUAUUCUCCAAAGUGUCCUAAAUGACGUGUGUUUCAGCAAAACUCAAAGCGUCUGUCCGUAGGCAGGGUCGACCAUCUCCUACAUUCCACCCUGGUCAUGAAAUAUACGGUUCGCCUUGGCGCACUACUCACUACUACUCUUGUUCUUGUGUAAAUAUCCUUAUCAGUAGUCGUCACAUUAUGCUGUUUCCUAGCUUUUCCAUUCAUGAAGUUCAAGUAUUGUCGUGUGAAGUCCAGGUUUUUGUGACUCUUGAACAUGGAAAAAUCUUUUACAAACUUUUUUGUCGCCAUAGUGAUAGAUGUCAUUGUAAGCUCACUACCUCCGACUAACAGACUUGAUAAGGGUAUGGUCCCAGAGGCUUUCCCUGCCGUUAAUGCCAUGCACCUGUUUGUUAUUCUACAUCUGUUCACUUGGGAAACCUUUCCAUCGCUCAAUAUUAUCGUGGACUUUGUUCUCAUAUGUUGUCAGGUGUUGCCCUUUGGUUUCUUGGGGGUCAAGUUGUUUCGCUUGUGGCCCAAAUGGUUUUUCUUCAGACAGACGAUGCAAACCUUAGUAUUUGUACUUGCCAAGAAUGGCUUCAACUCCCUCGCAACCUACGCCUUACCAUUCUUGAAAAAGAGAACGAAACAUCGGAUUGUCCAAGUUCAAGCUAAGAACCUCAACAGCAAGAAACGUUCACGACCAUAGAUAUCAAAUAUAAACCAUUAAAACAUG